ACUUUCAACAACGGAUCUCUUGGUUCUGGCAUCGAUGAAGAACGCAGCGAAAUGCGAUAAGUAAUGUGAAUUGCAGAAUUCAGUGAAUCAUCGAAUCUUUGAACGCACAUUGCGCCCUUUGGUAUUCCGAAGGGCAUGCCUGUUCGAGCG
rnacentral:rRNA from 1 species